CGGCCUUCGGGUUGUAAACCUCUUUCAGCAGGGAAGAAGCGCAAGUGACGGUACCUGCAGAAGAAGCACCGGCUAACUACGUGCCAGCAGCCGCGGUAAUACGUAGGGUGCGAGCGUUGUCCGGAAUUAUUGGGCGUAAAGAGCUUGUAGGCGGCUUGUCGCGUCUGCUGUGAAAAUCCGAGGCUCAACCUCGGACUUGCAGUGGGUACGGGCAGGCUAGAGUGUGGUAGGGGAGACUGGAAUUCCUGGUGUAACGGUGAAAUGCGCAGAUAUCAGGAGGAACACCGAUGGCGAAGGCAGGUCUCUGGGCCACUACUGACGCUGAGAAGCGAAAGCAUGGGGAGCGAACAGGAUUAGAUACCCUGGUAGUCCAUGCCGUAAACGUUGGGAACUAGGUGUGGGUCUCAUUCCACGAGAUCCGUGCCGCAGCUAACGCAUUAAGUUCCCCGCCUGGGGAGUACGGCCGCAAGGCUAAAACUCAAAGGAAUUGACGGGGGCCCGCACAAGCGGCGGAGCAUGCGGAUUAAUUCGAUGCAACGCGAAGAACCUUACCAAGGCUUGACAUGAACCGGACCGCUGCAGAAAUGUGGUUUCCCCUUUGGGGCUGGUUUACAGGUGGUGCAUGGUUGUCGUCAGCUCGUGUCGUGAGAUGUUGGGUUAAGUCCCGCAACGAGCGCAACCCUCGUUCUAUGUUGCCAGCACG
rnacentral:rRNA from 1 species